rnacentral:RNase_P_RNA from 1 species
UAGAUGAUCGCUUGCUACUUGGCAAGAGGAAAGUCCGGGCAGCACAGGAUACGACAGUCGCUAACGGCGACCGGGGGUAACCCUAGGGAAAGUGCCACAGAAACGAUACCGCUCCGCAACACCAAUACUCGUGCGCAGUAGCGCUCUAAGUAGCGGGGUAAGGGUGAAAGGAGUGAGGUAAGAGCUCACAGCGCUGCAUGGUGACAUGCCGCGGAGGUAAACCCUGUUGGCUGCAAGGAGAUAGCCACGGAUGAGUGAUCCGCUUGUGGCUAUCGCUAACCGCUCGAUUUGCAGAGCAAUUUGCAAACUAGAUAGAUGAUCAUCCACGACAGAACCCGGCUUAUCGAUAGGCUG